GGCUUGAUAGCUCAGUUGGUAGAGGACUGCACUGUUAUCGCAGAGGUCAUGGGUUCGAGUCCCGUUCAGGCCU
rnacentral:tRNA from 1 species